CUCUUCUGCAGUUUCUGUGAAAUAAAUGCAGGCUGCAACACACGCUUUAAGGAGCAGCGGAUCUGCAACAUCUGAACUACUCACUUUAAUUUAGUAUCUCAUGAUUUGAGUUUAAGAGGUGGGCAGUAUUACCUUCACAAAUAGGUUAAAGCCACAUGUUUCUGAUCUGAAGGAGAACCAGAGCGUGGAAAAGCAGUUUGGGAGCUUCUGAACCUGGAGUUUUUGUCUGGCUCGUUGAAAUGUUGGAGGGCACUGGCAAACUUUUUCUCCAGCAUGUGAACACAUACGUGUGGAUGAAUUUCCGUGCAGUGAGAUAAAAAGCUGGGAUUUAAACUGGAAAGGAGCUCUAUGUCUUACUUACAGCUUUUGGUGUGAUUGCAGCAAAGUAAAUGUCUGAUGGUGGUUAUGUGUUACUGUUUCUUUUGCUGCUUGUCACUGCAGAUCCACAUCUCAGUGCUUAUGGCGUAUUAAGUUACAGCCAACCAACUCACUUCCUCUUCAACAUGUUACUUCUACUCUGUUGC
rnacentral:lncRNA from 1 species